UACGUAGGGGGCAAGCGUUGUCCGGAAUUAUUGGGCGUAAAGAGCGCGUAGGCGGUCCGGUAAGUCGGCUGUGAAAGUCAAGGGCUCAACCCUUGAAAGCCGGCCGAUACUGUCGGACUAGAGUCCGGAAGAGGCGAGUGGAAUUCCCAGUGUAGAGGUGAAAUUCGUAGAUAUUGGGAAGAACACCGGUGGCGAAGGCGGCGACCUGGUCCGAUACUGACGCUGAGGCGCGAAAGCGUGGGGAGCAAACAGG
rnacentral:rRNA from 1 species